rnacentral:rRNA from 1 species
UACGGAGGAUGCAAGCGUUAUCCGGAAUGAUUGGGCGUAAAGCGUCCGCAGGCGGCACUUCAAGUCUGCUGUUAAAUACUAGGGCUUAACCCUGGAGCGGCAGUGGAAACUGAAGAGCUAGAGUUCGGUAGGGGUAGAGGGAAUUCCCAGUGUAGCGGUGAAAUGCGUAGAGAUUGGGAAGAACACCGGUGGCGAAAGCGCUCGGCUAGGCCGUGUCUGACACUCAGGGACGAAAGCAAGGGGAGCGAAUGGG